CAGAGAAGAUGGAGGCGGAGACUGGAGUCGUGCUGCCACGAACCAAGGACAUCCAGGGCUACCUGACGCUGGAAAAGGCAGGAAGGAUCGUCCCCUAGAGGCCUCUGAGGGAGAAUGGCCAUGCCAACAACUGGAUUUCAGACUUCUGGCUUCUAGAACAAACAUCAACAGCUGGGGCAGGGCUGUGAGCACUGAAAAGCAGCUUCUACCUCCCUCUACCUGCCUGGCUACUGAUCCGUGGAAAGGACCCCUCCAAUCUAAGCAGACCACCCAUUCUCUGGUUGAACACCUGCAUGCUUAGUGAAACCUAAGUAGCUACAGAAGAGUGCUCAAGGGAGAUGCGGAUAUUAACAAGACAACAACAAACUCACGAUCGCAGGCCAAGAGGACCACACGGAAAUCGUGGUCAUGUGUGUACCACUGCAGAGGAGCCAAAAGGGGCUCUUUCAAAACAAAUUUCCAUGAUGUCGAGUCUUUUUGAAAGGGGUCAGACCACUCCUUGAACUUAUUCUCUGUCUGCUAAUAAAUAUGGCUCACUGUUUUCAAACCGUAACAUAUUCAAAACACAUCAAAAGGCAUAAAACAUUUGCAACUAGUAGCAUGGUUUGAGACUCCA